UACGGGGGGGGCAAGCGUUGUUCGGAAUUACUGGGCGUAAAGGCUUGUAGGUGGCCAACUAAGUCAGACGUGAAAUCCCUCGGCUCAACCGAGGAACUGCGUCCGAUACUGGCAGGCUGGAAUCCGGGAGAGGGAUGUGGAAUUCCAGGUGUAGCGGUGAAAUGCGUAGAUAUCUGGAGGAACACCGGUGGCGAAGGCGGCAUCCUGGACCGGUAUUGACGCUGAGGAGCGAAAGCCAGGGGGAGCAAACGGG
rnacentral:rRNA from 1 species